CGUAGGGUGCGAGCGUUAAUCGGAAUUACUGGGCGUAAAGCGUGCGCAGGCGGUUAUGCAAGACAGAUGUGAAAUCCCCGGGCUCAACCUGGGAACUGCAUUUGUGACUGCAUAGCUGGAGUACGGUAGAGGGGGAUGGAAUUCCGCGUGUAGCAGUGAAAUGCGUAGAUAUGCGGAGGAACACCGAUGGCGAAGGCAAUCCCCUGGACCUGUACUGACGCUCAUGCACGAAAGCGUGGGAGCAAACAGGAUU
rnacentral:rRNA from 1 species